rnacentral:lncRNA from 1 species
UCCAGAAAGGGUAGGCUGAAGCAGCGACAGCAGUGUAACUGUACACGGAAUCCCUUGGGGAGGGAUCUACCUCCCAGUAAAGGCUGCUCCAAUCAGCCUAAUGAAAUAGGAGCACGAACCAAACUUUCUCAGAGCAAUGAUUGGCUGGGCAGUUCUCAUUAUCAAACUCCUUGCAUUUUUCUGGGGGAGGGGGCCCGAAGCGGAGGGUGAAUCAAUCCCCACUCUCUCGGCCACCCAAGGUACCCGGUUGAGGGAAACCUGGGGACUUUUCAACUAAAUCUCUGCUCCUAAGAAAGGUGCUUGCUUUGAGUUAUUUGGGGUGCAGAUGGGGACACGGGAAGACUUUACAUAGUUAUUGGGAGAAAACAAGAUUCUUGGAGGCUGCUUCCAAAAUGAUGAGCUGAGAAGAAACGACAGUUCUGUGGCACGAGCUGAGGACACCAAACAUGACAUACCAAGGAAAGACAGACAAUAGGACACACGGGACCAGUAAGGAGAAAAGACUGAACCCUGUAUAAUCUUCAAAUACCAUGGCCCCAUCCCACGGAAACAAUGAAACAGAGAAGGGCAAACAAGACAAGGCAGUGCAUCAACAGAGUCCCAGGAGUCAGGUGCACCCCUUUCCAUUCCUAGCACUGUUUACAUUCUGCUUCAGCCUGCCAGUGUCAUGGACUGGGUCACAAAGUCUGGUAUGUCCGCAGAUCACAGAACCUAGAAGAGAUCCGAGUUCUAGUGGUGUCCAAAGAUGUGUUGAACCAGCCCUCCCCAGACCUAGGUAUCAACCUAAGAGAUGGGACUUGGAAGGGAUCCACCCUGUGGGGGGUUCCUCUGCUGGACAGAAUCCAAUCAGCUUAGCUGCUAUCAUAGAACCCUCCCUUUUCUUCCCAGCAGGACAGUUGCCACUUCAGUACAAAUAGACUAGGAGGGACCCCAAAGACUGCACAGAGUCCACAACUGGAUCCAGCCUCUUCUCUGCCUUCUCUGUGGGUCCAGUUUCCAUUUGAGAGUCAAUGCCCAGAUUCUGGGCCAGGAUAAAGGUUACAUUUCAUAAGUGUCCCAAAGCUGAGGAGAAAUUACAUAUCCAGAAUUUACUGCAACAACAACAAAAACUAUAUCCCUGCAGGUCAGCAAAACAUCAAGGGUGACACAGACAGCUGGCCAUGGGUCCAUCACGCCUUGCAGUGACACAUGGGGCAGCUCAAAGCAUCCUGACAUGGCAUAACCUCUGAAAGGCUGUGAAACCCAAGGAAGUGCGUCUUACUCAAGGAGAGACUAUAGCUGAAAAGCCAAGGCCAGGCCCCCCCCAAAAUUACUUCCCCCGGAACAUGGGCUUCUGUUUCUGACUCUUCACAUCCGGGCACUGGCUCUCUGAGGGAUGAUUUGGUAUCACUCUAUUUUAACUCCUGGACAUGGCAUGGAAAGGAGAAACCCCUUCCCAUCAGGUGUCAGGACUGGCAAGGCGUAGGCACCUCUCCUGCUGCCAAGACACUGAGGAAGCUGUACUGUCACUCCAAACUUCAAGAUCAGGAGCUAGGCCAAGGCUCCACACAGUUCAUCACUGCCUUGGGUUUCCUCCAAGGAGGAGCACUUUGCAGAGGAUCUGACAACUUCCCAAUUUCAGGACGCUGCCUGUUAGAUGGAUUGUUGAAAUAAGAGACCAAGGUUGCUGGUAUGUAAGGGAACAAAAAGUCAGGACACCACCAUUCAUUUGAAAACCAAAAGUAAAUAAAUAGCUCCCACCCCCCCACACACACACACACACAAUUCCACGGGUAUUUUGGAGAGAAGGAGAGUCAAUAAAGGGUGUAGUCCCCUUUAUGCUCGUCAGGUGCACUCUGAAUUUAAACAUAUGCCUCUCAAAAGGAAGAAGAGCCACCAGUUCCCUCUUCCCACACACUUCAGCCAAGUGUCCUACAAUAGAUUCUGGACCCCAAAUCCUGUGAGAUUUAAUUUAAGCUUUGGGCACAAUACUAGUUGAGAAUGAUCACCUGGCCUGAGGCAAAACCUCCUCCAAACCAAAUCUGAGAAGGUCUCACUUGAUUUGGAAGCAGACACCCAGAGUACCUCUUUUCCCUAACACCAUCUUUAGUAACUCAGGUACCACAGCCUGCUCCAGGGCAUCCAGCACUGGAAAACAUAAAAAUAAACCCUAACACUGUCCUUGCUCACUUCCAUCUGCAGUCCCUUCUUCCUUUCAAGCCAUAACCUUAUUAAUCCAUUAAAACACUAAUCAAAACACACCCUAAUAAGGUAAUAAUAGGUCACUGCUUUGAAACAUGCAAUGCUCUUCAACUAUGAGCCAUUGUCACUUGAAAACUGGAAGCAUAUUGAGGACAAACAAAUUUCUCCUUCCACUGAGUCUCUAUAGAAUCCUGUGCUCUUAUUUGUAUGUAACUUUUAUGUUUUUUAGAAGGACUCUCAUAUGUCACAUUGCCUCUUUCCAGGGGCCCUAGCUGUGAGGAAGAACAGGACUUAUUCCUCUCAUUUUACACUUGAUAAAAGUGAGACAGAGAGUUGCAGUAAUUUAUCCAAGGUCAACAAUAAAUGACAAUGAUUCAUCGAUGACAAGGCCAGAACUUGAACCUGGGCCUUCUGAAGUCAGUUUAGAGGCCACCAAAAUCACAUCAAAUGCAUUAGCUCCGGAAAGCAGUAUGAGUAACACCAGAAUUUUACUAACUCUGGCUUCAGUUGGGUACAUUAUGAAAUUACAUGGCGCUGUUUAAUUCCAACAGUAGUUUUACAUGCAGGAAAGUGGAAGCAUGAUGCUUAGAAAAACAAUUGCCCAGUGCAGCUGGUAUCAGGGUGCUAGGACCAAAGAGUUUCCAGGACCCUCUUUUAGAACCUUAGCCACUGCGUUCACUCACCAAGCUCCCUCUAACCCCCACCCUCCGUUUUUCCUCUCUCCCGUUUUGGUUCUCAGUGACUCCAAGGUUCUCUGGGAAACUGACCUCACCUUUCCACCUGCCUCCGCCCCCCAGACAGGUGGUGGCCAGACCAACUCAGGCCCCAUCCCCCAACACACAGCUAGCCUUCUGACUUAAAUGAAAGAAGCUCAGAUUACCAAGCAACUGUUGUUUAUUCUCAGCUGCACAAGCUCCCUUUUCCGGGAUACCCAACACCUGUCUAUUACUCCUGGAGACCCACAGAGAACAUAGUCCAUUAUUCAGUAGAAACCUUCAGCAGAUAAUUUAAUUGAAAAAUAGCAACUUAAAGGAUAGUUUUCUCUGGGGUGUGAGGUGGAAGAUGUAGGCCCCACUAACCUAUCGUCCUACCUGUCCCAGGAUGCCAAGGGCAGGAAACUCCCAAGAAUACAAGGGUGUCCCCUUCAACACUGUUACUGCAAGACAAAGAGUUCCCAUCUCAAGCCUGGACACAGAGUUUGCCCUGAACAGUAUUCAGAAUGGCCAACCCUAGUCAUUAGUCUUGGUUCCAAGGAAAGUAGCAGGCAUUGGACACAAGUGAGACUUGUUGCUCACAGGGAAGGUGGAAAUAUGGAGGAUAUUAGAACAAGGGGCAAUCUCUAGCUUUGCCUAUUGCUAAACAAUAGAAAUGAGUUGGCAUAGAGUUGGCUACCUCAGGAAAGCAGUUCAGGUCAGGUCAAAGUUUAUCAUUUUAUUUAGAUUGUGAUUAGCAAUCUAAAUAAAAUGAUAAACUUUUACCAAGGGUAAGGCCAGUUAAGGACUAGAAUGCCUUACCAAACCCAGUUAGAGUGGCUUUCUCUUUAAAGGUAACUGGAGCCUCCUUAUAAGCAGGGGAAGGAAAGGGAUUAUCUCUUAAAGGCCCAUACUUACCUUACCGUUUUGGGUCUCUAAGGUCCAGACUCUUAUUAAAGUGAAAGCAAUUUGCUUCUGCCUAAAACAAAGUCUGUCUGAAGGGACCACCACUGGCUUCAGGCAUUUUGAUCACACAUGCUAAACACCUCUCAGAAACCCACAAAUGGCUUUAAUAUCUUGCACAGUGAGCUAGAAAUACAGUGAUCAAACGCACUAGUGAAGCAAGGGACUGGGGUGGAGGAUAUGGGGACAGGAGAAGGAAUUGGAGAGAAUAAUUUAAACUCUACCCAUGGCCUCUCCUCUCCCUUUCACUAAUCCCCAGCAGAAAGCAGCUAGCUACUUAAGAAGGGUCAGAGGAAACUGCACUGGAUUCAUGUGGUUAGAGAAGAAGGGUAGAGUAUAGGAGGCUGACACUGGCUAAACACAAUCUAAAUAAAAUCAUGGUUGACCAUGCCAUCAUGUCCUGCUUCUCUUUUCUGAAGAAAAAGGAGAAAUAAACUUCAAAACCUUGAUGGAGAGUUAGUUCCCCAGAAUACAGCCUGGGGGAAGGGGGGCUGUCAGCCUUGGGGAAUGCCCAAGGUCAGCAGAGGUUGCUUCCAUUAGCCUUCACUGGAGCCAGGGUGAGCAAUGACGUCACCUCAGGAGAAGGACUGCCACCCGAUAAGCC